AUUGAACGCUGGCGGCAGGCCUAACACAUGCGAGUCGAGCGGAUGACGGGAGCUUGCUCCUUGAUUCAGCGGCGGACGGGUGAGUAAUGCCUAGGAAUCUGCCUGGUAGUGGGGGACAACGUUUCGAAAGGAACGCUAAUACCGCAUACGUCCUACGGGAGAAAGCAGGGGACCUUCGGGCCUUGCGCUAUCAGAUGAGCCUAGGUCGGAUUAGCUAGUUGGGGGGGUAAUGGCUCACCAAGGCGACGAUCCGUAACUGGUCUGAGAGGAUGAUCAGUCACACUGGAACUGAGACACGGUCCAGACUCCUACGGGAGGCAGCAGUGGGGAAUAUUGGACAAUGGGCGAAAGCCUGAUCCAGCCAUGCCGCGUGUGUGAAGAAGGUCUUCGGAUUGUAAAGCACUUUAAGUUGGGAGGAAGGGCAGUAAGUUAAUACCUUGCUGUUUUGACGUUACCGACAGAAUAAGCACCGGCUAACUCUGUGCCAGCAGCCGCCGUAAUAC
rnacentral:rRNA from 1 species